rnacentral:rRNA from 1 species
UACGUAGGCAGCGAGCGUUGUUCGGAAUUACUGGGCGUAAAGAGUGUGUAGGCGGUGUUCCCAGUCUGUUGUGAAAUCUCCCGGCUUAACUGGGAGGGUGCAGCGGAAACUAGAAUGCUAGAGGGUGGGAGAGGUAAAGCGGAAUUCCUGGUGUAGCGGUGAAAUGCGUAGAUAUCAGGAGGAACACCGGUGGCGAAGGCGGGUCUCUGGGCCGAUACUGACGCUGAGGAGCGAAAGCUCGGGGAGCGAACGGG